AUGGACAUGUUUUCACUUCUCAUGGAAUUUUCUAGGACUAGGGCAGAGUAGGGACAUUAGUAAAACUCCCUCCCUCAUCCCUUAAGUCAAUAAACUCUUAUUUGGACAAUGAUGUGGCAAGUCUGCUCCACAAACCAAGCACGACCGAGAGGGGUCUCAUGAUCUUUUUGGUAUGGUCAGUAUUUUGGCAGAAGAGUCCUCUGCUGAAUGAGCCAGCCCAGCCAGAGACACCAAGAAGGCCUUGAAAAUCUAGACCCACAUUCCAACAAGAAGGCUUCAUUUGCAAUGCAGGAUGUCCAGAGUGCCAGACGAAGGACAUACCCUGUCUCCAGAGUGCAGUAAAGCCUUUGAUCUACUUCUUAAGAAAUCUUCGAGGACAAUGUAGGAGAACACAGAGGAGACUGGUGAAGAAGGAGGCAGGACACAGCAUGAGGGGUCACUCCAGUUCUCCAGAGGCACAGGGCACCUCUCCAUGAAGUCUUCCUCACCUUCUGGCAAUGUUCUCUUCCGUGCAUUAAACAUCUCCCCUGUGCCAGAAGCCCAAAUCCAGCCCUAAAUAUCUGGCCUGAGGAGCCAUCGCCAGCAGAGAGGGAUAUACCAGGACUGUGGGAGCCCAGGAUUGGAGGAAGGAAAACUCAGGUAAGGCACGAUGAAGUGAAGGAUUUUUGGCCUAAGCCUUAGAAAAUAAUGAAAUACUCAGAGGACAUGGGAGAAGGGGCAGAAGGGCAUUCCAGGCAGAAGGAAUGAGGGGUUGCCCUGUCUCGGAGGACGAACAGCCCAAAGCUGUUUAUUCUCACCUCCCUGUGGACUU